ensembl:snRNA U2 U2 spliceosomal RNA
AUUGCUUCUCGGCAUUUUGGCUAAGAUCAAGUGUAGUAUCUAUUCUUAUCAGAAUAUAUUCUUAUUCAAACCACAACAUAGACUUUUC